UACGUAGGCAGCAAGCGUUGUUCGGAGUUACUGGGCGUAAAGGGUGUGUAGGCGGUUGUUUUAAGUUUGGUGUGAAAUCUCCCGGCUCAACUGGGAGGGUGCGCCGAAUACUGAAUGACUAGAGUGCGGGAGAGGAAAGUGGAAUUCCUGGUGUAGCGGUGAAAUGCGUAGAUAUCAGGAGGAACACCGGUGGUGUAGACGGCUUUCUGGACCGUAACUGACGCUGAGACACGAAAAGCGUGGGGUAGCAA
rnacentral:rRNA from 1 species